rnacentral:rRNA from 1 species
UACGUAGGGCGCAAGCGUUGUCCGGAAUUAUUGGGCGUAAAGAGCUCGUAGGCGGCUUGUCACGUCGGUUGUGAAAGCCCGGGGCUUAACCCCGGGUCUGCAGUCGAUACGGGCAGGCUAGAGUGUGGUAGGGGAGAUCGGAAUUCCUGGUGUAGCGGUGAAAUGCGCAGAUAUCAGGAGGAACACCGGUGGCGAAGGCGGAUCUCUGGGCCAUUACUGACGCUGAGGAGCGAAAGCGUGAGGAGCGAACAGG